rnacentral:rRNA from 1 species
AUGGCCGACUACCACCGCCCCUACCAGCGCGACCUCCGUCCCCCGCCGUCCUCGGCCCCGGACCCCACCAUCUUCCACGGCAAUGGUUACUUCUCCUCCGUCGCCCCCCAAGCCAACGCAUACUUCUCCUCCGCGCAGAAAGACGGCGCUUUCCCCGGCGCAGGCGACCGGCGGAUCGAGAUCUACACGACGGCGCCUCCGCCUCUCCCCCCGCCUCCGCGCCUCGCACUGCCCCCGCCUCCGGGGAGGAGGGAAGGUGGCGUGGGGAGCGGCGGCAGCGGAGGGGGAGGUGGGGGCGGUGGAAGCGCCAACAUGUGGUGCUUCAGCGACCCGGAGAUGAAGCGGCGGCGGCGGGUGGCGAGCUACAAGGCUUACUCAGUGGAAGGGAAAGUGAAGUCCUCGCUGCGGAGGGGCCUCCGCUGGUUCAAGGGCAAGUGCUCCGAUAUCUUCCACGGCUGGUAA